GACGAACCGUGCGAACGUUGUUCGGAAUCACUGGGCUUAAAGGGCGCGUAGGCGGCCAGCACAAGUCAGUUGUGAAAUCUCCGAGCUUAACUCGGAAAGGUCAACUGAUACUGUGCGGCUAGAGUGCAGAAGGGGCAACUGGAAUUCUCGGUGUAGCGGUGAAAUGCGUAGAUAUCGAGAGGAACACCUGCGGCGAAGGCGGGUUGCUGGGCUGACACUGACGCUGAUGUGCGAAAGCUAGGGGAGCGAACGGG
rnacentral:rRNA from 1 species